UACAGAGGUCUCAAGCGUUGUUCGGAUUCAUUGGGCGUAAAGGGCGCGUAGGCGGGCACGUAAGUCAGGGGCGAAAGCCCACGGCUCAACCGUGGAAGGGCUUUUGAUACUGCGUGUCUGGAGGGAGGUAGGGGCGUGCGGAACUUCCGGUGGAGCGGUGAAAUGCGUAGAUAUCGGAAGGAACACCGGUGGCGAAAGCGGCGCGCUGGACCUCUUCUGACGCUGAGGCGCGAAAGCCAGGGGAGCAAACGGG
rnacentral:rRNA from 1 species